GCGGUUAUACCAAGUGAUUAAGUUAUAUUUUUAGGUAAAAAGACAGUUAGGUUUAUAGAAAUUGAUUUUUAGUUUAUUGAACAUUUAUAAAAAAGUAAAAUUUGUAUAUAGAUAGCUAAUUUAAAAAUAACUAUGUAUACUGAAGCUGUGAUAGUCUUGAGGGAAACUGGGAUUAGAUACCCCAUUAUUCUUGAUUUUAAAUAUAAUUAAAUUUACCAGAGUACUAUGAAUAGUUAAAAAUUUAAAACUCAAAGGGCUUGGCGGUGUUUUAGACCUAUCAGGGGAACCUGUCUCGUAAUCGACAAUCCACGUAAUAUCUAACCUUAUUUUGUAAACAGUUUGUAUACCGUCGUCGUCAGGUAACUUUUAAAAAUAUAGAAGUUAGCAAUUAAAACUUAUUAGUUAAAACGUCAGAUCAAGGUGCAGCCUAUAGUAAGGAGAGGAUGGGUUACAGUUAUAAAAAUUAUAAUUACGGAAAUUUAAAUGGAACUUAUUUUGAAGGAGGACUUGAAAGUAAACUAAAAUACAUAAAUAGCUUGAAUAAGGCUCUG
rnacentral:rRNA from 1 species